CGGCCUGAGGUCGGACGAGGCUACCCGCUGAAUUUAAGCAUAUUACUAAGCGGAGGAAAAGAAACUAACGAGGAUUCCCUCAGUAACGGCGAGUGAAGCGGGACGAGCCCAGCGCCGAAUCCGGCCGCUUAUGGAGCGGACGGAAUUGUGGCGUAUGGAAUUCGCUUCGAGCGCGGACCGGCUGCCCACGUCCUUCUGAUCGAGGCUUCAUCCCAUAGCGGGUGUCAGGCCCUUGGCGGCGGCUGGCCCGGGCUCUCGGUGUCUUCCCGGAGUCGGGUUGUUUGGGAAUGCACCCCCAAGCGGGUGGGUAACUCCCUCUAAGGCUUAAUACGGUCACGAGACCGAUCGCGAACAAGUCCCGUGAGGGAAAGUGACAAGCCCUUUGGAGAGAGAGUUUAAAAGUCCGUGAAACCGUCGAGAGGGAAACGGGAGGGCCUGCCGGCCCUUCGGUC
rnacentral:ncRNA from 1 species